AGUAGGUAGUAGGUACAUAUUCAACCCUUUUUUAACACCGGGGAGCAGAUCGUUAAAAUGGACCUUUUCUAAUAUAACUGUAGCCGCGUGUUAAGGAUGUUCUGUUCUCUCAGAAUAUACCUGUGAUUCGAACAUUCGUAUGCAACGUACAAAAAACAGUGCUCAGUGCUUCAAAUAAAAACUUGAGUUGUAGUGUAUUGAAUGAAGUAUGCAUGCUCUUGACUUGAAACGAAUUUUUCUCAGAAAAUAUGUAAAAAAUAAUUCCUUAUUUGUGUUUAACUGGAACAAGUACAUAGUUAUGAUUUUUUUAUCAGUGAAUAUUCAAAAAAUCAAGCUUUAUAAGUUGCCUACAUUUCGUAAGAAACCACCGGAAGUGAAAUUAUGAGUAGCUAAGAAAAAGAAACAUCCUGUAACCACGAAUGAAAAAUGAAUUCCUAUUCUAAUAGUGACGAUAAUGAAGAACAUCGUCGUUAUCAGUAUAGAAUCGCAUGGUUUGAGAGUUCAAGAAAAUUAAAGCAAUUGCAAUGCUGAAAAUUUUGAAAACUGAUUUCUCCAGAAAUACCCGGAGAUGACGUUUCAACAGUAGGUCAGGAGGAAUGCAAUGGAAUGUUACUGCACCGUUCAAAUAAUUAUAACGGAAGUCAGUUAUCCAGAGUCCUGCGAUCUUGCUUGAAAGACCGGAAAGGGACUGAGCUGAAAACAUUUUUAAAUGGAAGAAAGACGAAUAAAUACUGACGAAGAAAAGCCACAGAAGUUAUGUAUUUGGCAUCCUCUAGGUACAUAUAAUGCAGAUAAAGAAGAAACAUUCAUAUUCAUUCCACAAUUAUAUGUACUUACAAUUACAACAAUUAUUCAAUAACAAAAAUUCGUGGAAACUUCUCUCCUCGAAACUCUAUGUUUCGAAUAAUCUAGAAUUCGAUUUGAAAAAACUAUACCCGAACUAAAAACACUUCGAUAUUUUCUGAGCAUUCAGUAGUUGUACCAUUUUGAAAAUAAAAAAGUAUCUCAAUAUAAAUUAAUAGGUAUAUCAUACGAAGGAAAUGUCCAUGGUUUAUCUAUUGUGUUUCGUAAUUUUCAUGCUUUUCCUUCUUUUCGUUUUUCAUUUUUUACAUGUUGUAUUGAUGGCAUUUUUGGGUUGUCUUUUCUGUCGCGUUUUCGUGCAUCGCGCGGAUGUUAAGGCGCCAUCAAUAAUGCCUUCUUUAAAUUAUAAUACCACCAUUUUUACAUACAUAUAAACAUUUUUUCACGCAAUGAUUCUUAAAAUUUGCUACUGUACCUAAAAAUUUUUCCAUAGGUAAAUUUCCCUUGGGAGUUUAUGUUUAGAUAUUUGAGUGGAUAUUGAAAGUGUAUAGGUUUUUUAUUGAACUAAACGUUGGGUUGAGAAAUUUCAAAUGAGAUACAUAGGUACCUACAUGUUAUAGGUAUGGAAAAGAAUAGAAAAUCGAUUUGUAAGCGACAUUUUGUUAUUUGUCGAGUAGGUAAUUCGUUUGUGUUUCAAUCAAAUAUAAAUUUUUUAAUGCUUACGCAAACCCCUCUAUCAUGUUUGUUUGAAUGAAAGUUUGUGCCUAUGCAGAUUAUUUUAUGAUAACUUUCGAUUUGAAUGAUUAAACAGUGAUGGAAAUAACAAGGAAAAGUGGGGGCUUGGCCAAUUGCCCCUAUAUUGACGGUUUGAACUUAGGUUAAUCUUAUCCCCCCUCCCAUUUAAAUACAAAUUAACUGAGGUUCGUUUUUUAAGAAAUUCAUUUUGGCUUACAUUGAUUUGUGACUUUUAUUAAAAGAUGUAAAAGUCUUCCGCACUGGAAAACACAAUUGGAAAAAUGAAUUUUUGAAGACAAACGUGAAAAACAAUUAAAAUGCUAAUUUUUAUUAAUGCUCUAAGAAUACAAAAAAUUUGAAGUCUGAUAUAAUUCGUUAGGUAAGUACCUGCCUAGUUACAAUAGAAACUUAUUUUUUCAGAAUUUUUAGAUUUUUCAAAGACAAAUUUUCAUCUUUUGUUGAAGUUGGUGCAAUUUCUGAAGAGUUGAAGAAGUUUCGUUUGCAAAUCAUUCUUUCAAUUUCAUAUCAUGCAUCCAAGAUUUAUCAUGAUUCAUGACCAUGAAACAGAAUUUGAAUAGGACAAAGGGCUCCAUGAGUACCACAUUUGGCCAGAAACACAUCAAGUAUUUCAGCAGGCGCUUCUGAAUUUUUAGGAUAAUGUUGAAUCCCAGAGCCAAAAUACCUCCUCAUACUUUAUAUUUUGCUAUGUGGGAAGCGGGGGCAAAUCAAUAUCUCAAAUUGGGAAAAUU